rnacentral:rRNA from 1 species
AUUGAACGCUGGCGGCAUGCCUUACACAUGCAAGUCGAACGGCAGCACGGGUGCUUGCACCUGGUGGCGAGUGGCGAACGGGUGAGUAACACAUCGGAACAUGUCCUGUAGUGGGGGAUAGCCCGGCGAAAGCCGGAUUAAUACCGCAUACGAUCCACGGAUGAAAGCGGGGGACCUUCGGGCCUCGCGCUAUAGGGUUGGCCGAUGGCUGAUUAGCUAGUUGGUGGGGUAAAGGCCUACCAAGGCGACGAUCAGUAGCUGGUCUGAGAGGACGACCAGCCACACUGGGACUGAGACACGGCCCAGACUCCUACGGGAGGCAGCAGUGGGGAAUUUUGGACAAUGGGCGAAAGCCUGAUCCAGCAAUGCCGCGUGUGUGAAGAAGGCCUUCGGGUUGUAAAGCACUUUUGUCCGGAAAGAAAUCCUUGACUCUAAUACAGUCGGGGGAUGACGGUACCGGAAGAAUAAGCACCGGCUAACUACGUG